UUGCAAUAAAAAUGUCGAAUGUAAAAGAGAGUGGUAUAAAAGUGGUAUAAAAGGCUGUUGCUUGACGGAGCGAAUAAAGAAUAAGCAUUUGUUGUUCGCGCUAUAACUUCAUAAUAAUCAAAAUGCUUAAAGCACUCAUUCUCUUUGCUAUAAUUGGGUUGACACUAUCUUUCCCAACUGAAAAAGUAAAGCCAAGUGAAUCAGAGGAAUCAGAUGAACCUCUUUACCAUUUUGAGGGCAUUUAGGCUGGCAAAAACAGUGGAAUUUUCAAAAUAACCUCAAGCGAGGACGAUAAAGUUGUAAUUGCCGUCGAAGGAAAA